rnacentral:rRNA from 1 species
UACGUAGGGGGCAAGCGUUGUCCGGAUUUAUUGGGCGUAAAGAGCGUGUAGGCGGCCAUGCAGGUCCGCUGUGAAAACUCGAGGCUCAACCUCGAGACGCCGAUGGAAACCCUCCAGCUAGAGUCCGGAAGAGGAGAGUGGAAUUCCUGGUGUAGCGGUGAAAUGCGCAGAUAUCAGGAAGAACACCCGUGGCUAAGGCGGCUCUCUAGUACGGUACUGACGCUGAGACGCGAAAGCGUGGGGAGCGAACAGG